rnacentral:rRNA from 1 species
CAGUUUAACGGCCGCGGUACCCUAACCGUGCGAAGGUAGCAUAAUCACUUGUUUCUUAAAUAGAGACUAGUAUCAACGGCAUCACGAAGACUAUACUGUCUCCCCCCUAAAAUCAAUGAAACUGAUCUCCUCGUGAAGAAGCGAGGAUGUAUAUAUAAGACGAGAAGACCCCAUGGAGCUUUAAACGAACUUCAAUUGUUCCUACCCAUAACAUACAAACUGAACACCCCUGAUAGUUAGUUUUAGGUUGGGGUGACCGCGGAGUAAAACAAAACCUCCACAAUGAAUGAAAUAAAAUUCUUAUAAAAGAACCACAAUUCUAAUAAUCAAAAAUUUGACAUAAAUUGACCCAAACACUUGAUCAAUGAACCAAGUUACCCUGGGGAUAACAGCGCAAUCCAUUUUAAGAGCCCAUAUCGACAAAUGGGUUUACGACCUCGAUGUUG